GAGCGGCGAACGGGUGAGUAACACGUGGGUGAUCUGCCUUGCACUCUGGGAUAAGCCUGGGAAACUGGGUCUAAUACCGGAUAUGACCAUUGGUUGCAUGAUCGGUGGUGGAAAGAUUUAUCGGUGCGAGAUGGGCCCGCGGCCUAUCAGCUUGUUGGUGGGGUAAUGGCCUACCAAGGCGACGACGGGUAGCCGACCUGAGAGGGUGACCGGCCACACUGGGACUGAGACACGGCCCAGACUCCUACGGGAGGCAGCAGUGGGGAAUAUUGCACAAUGGGCGGAAGCCUGAUGCAGCGACGCCGCGUGAGGGAUGACGGCCUUCGGGUUGUAAACCUCUUUCGACAGGGACGAAGCGCAAGUGACGGUACCUGUAGAAGAAGCACCGGCCAACUACGUGCCAGCAGCCGCGGUAAUACGUAGGGUGCGAGCGUUGUCCGGAAUUACUGGGCGUAAAGAGCUUGUAGGCGGUUCGUCGCGUCGAUUGUGAAAACUUGCAGCUCAACUGCAAGCUUGCAGUCGAUACGGGCGGACUAGAGUACUUCAGGGGAGACUGGAAUUCCU
rnacentral:rRNA from 1 species